GUGUGUGUGUGUGUGUGUGUGUGUGUGUGUUAAGCUCUGCAUGCCAGAUGUCCUUGGUUUGAUUAUAUACAAUAUAUAAACAAGUGGCGCCCAAGUCUCUCAUUUUCUCUCUCUCUUUCACUCAUUCAUAAUUUUAAAAAAUCAACACAAGAUUACUAGUCAUUUUAGCCUUACACAGAGAGGAUAGUUAAUGGAUAUUAGUUUUUAAAAAUUUAUUUAUUAUUGUCUUUAUUUAUUGGAUGGAGACAGCCAGAAAUCAGAAGGAAGGGGGAGACAGAGAGACACCUGCAGCCCUAUUUCAUCAGCUGCAAAGGUUUCCCACUGCAGGUGGGGACUGGGGGCUUGAACUGGCUUCCAUAUGUAGCGUGUGUGCUCAACCAAGUGUGCCACCUCCCCGCCCCUGGACAUUAGCUUUCAUAUUCUUAGUCACACAGAGAAAAGACUAUCUGCAAAUAGUCAUGAUUAAGAGACACUGUAGCACUAAAUACAAAUUUAUUCAACAGAACUCCUGACUGCCUCAUAUGGCCAACAGGUUCCAGAUGCUAAUAUGAUGCCAACCAUCAUUCCCUGGGCAUAAGACCCCACCAUUGUGUCCUGGAGCCCCGCUUCCCCACAGCCCUGCCUCACCAGGGAAAGAGAGAGACAGGCUGGGAGUAUUGAUUCACCUGUCAAUGCCCAUGUUCAGCGGGGAAGCAAUUACAGAAGCCAGACCUUCCACCUUCUGCACCCCAUAAUGACCCUGAGUCCAUGCUCCCAGAGUAAUAAAGAAUAGAAAAGCUAUCAGGGGCGGGGAUGGGAUACGGAGUUCUGGAGGUGGGAAUUGUGUGGAGUUGUACCCCUCUUAUCCUAUGGUUUUUGUCAGUAUUUCCUUUUAAUAAAUAAAAAUUAUAUAAAAAAGAA